rnacentral:rRNA from 1 species
GACGAACGCUGGCGGCGUGCUUAACACAUGCAAGUCGAACGGAAAGGCCCUGCUUUUGUGGGUUGCUCGAGUGGCGAACGGGUGAGUAACACGUGAGUAACCUGCCCUUGACUUUGGGAUAACUUCAGGAAACUGGGGCUAAUACCGGAUAGGAGCUCCUGCUGCAUGGUGUGGGUUGGAAAGUUUCGGCGGUUGGGGAUGGACUCGCGGCUUAUCAGCUUGUUGGUGGGGUAGUGGCUUACCAAGGCUUUGACGGGUAGCCGGCCUGAGAGGGUGACCGGCCACAUUGGGACUGAGAUACGGCCCAGAAGCCUACGGGAGGCAGCAGUGGGGAAUAUUGCACAAUGGGCGGAAGCCUGAUGCAGCAACGCCGCGUGCGGGAUGACGGCCUUCGGGUUGUAAACCGCUUUCGCCUGUGACGAAGAGUGAGUGACGGUAAUGGGUAAAGAAGCACCGGCUAACUACGUG